CCGCCAUUGACUUUGACCGUCGUCAGUCUCGACUGGAGAGGCGACUAGUAAACUGAAAGGAUCUAAAAGGACGCACAGCGCCGAGUCCUGUGGGCCAACCAGACCGAGCCACAGAAAAAUUAACGAAAUCCUGCAGUAGCCUGUGCUAAUUUUGCUGGGUAGCAUACUUUUUGGCGCGCUGCAGACCAAGUGAAUGUGAAAUGUGACAAACAAGGCAAGAGUGACAGUUGUUAACCGAAAAACCAUGAACAAAAACAGAGAAAAACAGUGAAAAUGGCCAAACAGAUGGAAAUGGAAAUGGAAACAAGUUGUGCCUUUGCAGAUACUGGCUGUGCGAGGCCCCGGGAGACAUUUAACAUAAUAAAAACGAACGUGUGCGGCAUUUUUGUGUUGCCUUUGCCAAGUUAACAGUAUCUCGCGGCGUGUGUGUGCGGGUUUGUUUAAUGCUAAUAUUACAGACACGCUCGCACACACACGCCAACACUAAGACGACAUACAUGUCCUGGUCCAGACACACCAACCAACAAGCAUCCAAUAUUGCGAAUAUGUGCGCCAAGCAGUUGGCAAAAGUGUCGUAAAUCGUUUAGACAGCGAAACGUGGAUUCCCCAGAAAAGGGAAAGGGGCCCAAACGAUAUGUAAACGACACAGUCGCCGUGGGAAAAACUCCAAAAAUUCUCACACAAAAGCAGGAAAACAAAAUAAAAGGAGACCAGCCAAUGGAUAAAUAAAAGAAUGGCCAGGAGUAUCAGAAGAAUCAGGACACAUCGCCCGAAAGAAGUGCACUUCUUCCUCAUAUUCAAACCAAAUGAUUUGCGGGAAAAACGGCUUAGUUGUAUUCAAGAGGAACUGCAUAAAUAUUCGUUGGAUUGAAUGAUUCAUAACAAUUACACCCAAGCUGAUGAAGUGCGUCCUGUGUGGCUCCAUCAAUAUUGUGAUAAAUAUAAAAACUGUCAUAAAUA